CGGACGGGUGAGUAACGCGUAAAGAACUUGCCCUUUAGACUGGGAUAACAGAGGGAAACUUCUGAUAAUACUGGAUAAGUUAGUAUAUCGCAUGAUAUGCAAAAUGAAAGCUACGGCACUAAAGGAGAGCUUUGCGUCCUAUUAGCUAGUUGGUAAGGUAAGAGCUUACCAAGGCGAUGAUAGGUAGCCGGCCUGAGAGGGUGGACGGCCACAAGGGGACUGAGAUACGGCCCUUACUCCUACGGGAGGCAGCAGUA
rnacentral:rRNA from 1 species